GAGAAGUGGCCGAGUGGUCGAAGGCGACGCACUCGAAAUGCGUUAGGGAUUCACGUCCCUCGAGGGUUCGAAUCCCUCCUUCUCC
rnacentral:tRNA from 1 species